GGGUUGUGAGGUUAAGCGACUAAGCGUACACGGUGGAUGCCCUGGCAGUCAGAGGCGAUGAAGGGCGUGCUAAUCUGCGAUAAGCGCCGGUAAGGUGAUAUGAACCGUUAUAACCGGCGAUACCCGAAUGGGGAAACCCAGUGUGAUUCGUCACACUAUCAUUAACUGAAUCCAUAGGUUAAUGAGGCGAACCGGGGGAACUGAAACAUCUAAGUACCCCGAGGAAAAGAAAUCAACCGAGAUUCCCCCAGUAGCGGCGAGCGAACGGGGAGGAGCCCAGAGCCUGAAUCAGCAUGUGUGUUAGUGGAAGCGUCUGGAAAGGCGCGCGAUACAGGGUGACAGCCCCGUACACAAAAGCGCAUGUGCUGUGAGCUCGAUGAGUAGGGCGGGACACGUGGUAUCCUGUCUGAAUAUGGGGGGACCAUCCUCCAAGGCUAAAUACUCCUGACUGACCGAUAGUGAACCAGUACCGUGAGGGAAAGGCGAAAAGAACCCCGGCGAGGGGAGUGAAAAAGAACCUGAAACCGUGUACGUACAAGCAGUGGGAGCNNNNNNNNNNNNNNNNNNNNNNNNNGGCGUUAAGUUGCAGGGUAUAGACCCGAAACCCGGUGAUCUAGCCAUGGGCAGGUUGAAGGUUGGGUAACACUAACUGGAGGACCGAACCGACUAAUGUUGAAAAAUUAGCGGAUGACCUGUGGCUGGGGGUGAAAGGCCAAUCAAACCGGGAGAUAGCUGGUUCUCCCCGAAAGCUAUUUAGGUAGCGCCUCGUGAAUUCAUCUCCGGGGGUAGAGCACUGUUUCGGCUAGGGGGCCAUCCCGGCUUACCAACCCGAUGCAAACUGCGAAUACCGGAGAAUGUUAUCACGGGAGACACACGGCGGGUGCUAACGUCCGUCGUGAAGAGGGAAACAACCCAGACCGCCAGCUAAGGUCCCAAAGUCAUGGUUAAGUGGGAAACGAUGUGGGAAGGCCCAGACAGCCAGGAUGUUGGCUUAGAAGCAGCCAUCAUUUAAAGAAAGCGUAAUAGCUCACUGGUCGAGUCGGCCUGCGCGGAAGAUGUAACGGGGCUAAACCAUGCACCGAAGCUGCGGCAGCGACACUGUGUGUUGUUGGGUAGGGGAGCGUUCUGUAAGCCUGCGAAGGUGGCCUGUGAGGGUUGCUGGAGGUAUCAGAAGUGCGAAUGCUGACAUAAGUAACGAUAAAGCGGGUGAAAAGCCCGCUCGCCGGAAGACCAAGGGUUCCUGUCCAACGUUAAUCGGGGCAGGGUGAGUCGACCCCUAAGGCGAGGCCGAAAGGCGUAGUCGAUGGGAAACGGGUUAAUAUUCCCGUACUUGGUGUUACUGCGAAGGGGGGACGGAGAAGGCUAUGUUGGCCGGGCGACGGUUGUCCCGGUUUAAGCGUGUAGGUGUGUGUUCCAGGUAAAUCCGGUUCACUUUAACACUGAGGCGUGACGACGAGGCACUACGGUGCUGAAGCAACAAAUGCCCUGCUUCCAGGAAAAGCCUCUAAGCAUCAGGUAACAUCAAAUCGUACCCCAAACCGACACAGGUGGUCAGGUAGAGAAUACCAAGGCGCUUGAGAGAACUCGGGUGAAGGAACUAGGCAAAAUGGUGCCGUAACUUCGGGAGAAGGCACGCUGACACGUAGGUGAAGUGAUUUACUCAUGGAGCUGAAGUCAGUCGAAGAUACCAGCUGGCUGCAACUGUUUAUUAAAAACACAGCACUGUGCAAACACGAAAGUGGACGUAUACGGUGUGACGCCUGCCCGGUGCCGGAAGGUUAAUUGAUGGGGUCAGCGCAAGCGAAGCUCCUGAUCGAAGCCCCGGUAAACGGCGGCCGUAACUAUAACGGUCCUAAGGUAGCGAAAUUCCUUGUCGGGUAAGUUCCGACCUGCACGAAUGGCGUAAUGAUGGCCAGGCUGUCUCCACCCGAGACUCAGUGAAAUUGAACUCGCUGUGAAGAUGCAGUGUACCCGCGGCAAGACGGAAAGACCCCGUGAACCUUUACUAUAGCUUGACACUGAACAUUGAGCCUUGAUGUGUAGGAUAGGUGGGAGGCUUUGAAGUGUGGACGCCAGUCUGCAUGGAGCCGACCUUGAAAUACCACCCUUUAAUGUUUGAUGUUCUAACGUGGACCCGUUACCCGGGUUGCGGACAGUGUCUGGUGGGUAGUUUGACUGGGGCGGUCUCCUCCUAAAGAGUAACGGAGGAGCACGAAGGUUGGCUAAUCCUGGUCGGACAUCAGGAGGUUAGUGCAAUGGCAUAAGCCAGCUUGACUGCGAGCGUGACGGCGCGAGCAGGUGCGAAAGCAGGUCAUAGUGAUCCGGUGGUUCUGAAUGGAAGGGCCAUCGCUCAACGGAUAAAAGGUACUCCGGGGAUAACAGGCUGAUACCGCCCAAGAGUUCAUAUCGACGGCGGUGUUUGGCACCUCGAUGUCGGCUCAUCACAUCCUGGGGCUGAAGUAGGUCCCAAGGGUAUGGCUGUUCGCCAUUUAAAGUGGUACGCGAGCUGGGUUUAGAACGUCGUGAGACAGUUCGGUCCCUAUCUGCCGUGGGCGCUGGAGAACUGAGGGGGGCUGCUCCUAGUACGAGAGGACCGGAGUGGACGCAUCACUGGUGUUCGGGUUGUCAUGCCAAUGGCACUGCCCGGUAGCUAAAUGCGGAAGAGAUAAGUGCUGAAAGCAUCUAAGCACGAAACUUGCCCCGAGAUGAGUUCUCCCUGAGACUUAAAGUCUCCUGAAGGAACGUUGAAGACGACGACGUUGAUAGGCCGGGUGUGUAAGCGCAGCGAUGCGUUGAGCUAACCGGUACUAAUGAACCGUGAGGCUUAACCUUACAACGCCGAAG
rnacentral:rRNA from 1 species